UACGGAGGGUGCAAGCGUUAUCCGGAUUCACUGGGUUAAAGGGUGCGUAGGUGGGCAAGUAAGUCAGUGGUGAAAUCCCCGGGCUUAACCCGGAAACUGCCAUUGAUACUAUUUGUCUUGAAUACUGUGGAGGUCAGCGGAAUAUGUCAUGUAGCGGUGAAAUGCUUAGAUAUGACAUAGAACACCAAUUGCGAAGGCAGCUGGCUACACAAAUAUUGACACUGAGGCACGAAAGCGUGGGGAUCAAACAGG
rnacentral:rRNA from 1 species